AUCCGCGUAGCGCAGGGGAUAGCACGCCGGACUUCUAAUCCGAAGGUCGGGGGUUCGAAUCUCACCGUGGAUG
rnacentral:tRNA from 1 species